CUGACAGAAGAGAGUGAGCACACAAAGGCAAUUUGCAUAUCAUUGCAUUUGCUUCUCUUGCGUGCUCACUGCUCUUUCUGUCAG
rnacentral:pre_miRNA from 3 species